rnacentral:tRNA from 1 species
AAAGAUUUAGUUAAGUUAUAACAUUAGUUCGUCAUACUAAAAUCAUUAAUGAAUUAAUAAUUUUUA